rnacentral:rRNA from 1 species
CGGAAAGCGAAUAAGGGUACACAGUGGAUGCCUAGGUAUCUCGUGCCGAUGAAGGACGUGUUAUACUGCGAAAAGCUUCGAUGAGGUGUAUAAGACCGCAAGAGUCGGAGGUGUCCGAAUGGGGAAACCUGGCGCGGAUCAAGCCGCGUCAUGUUUGGUGUAAGAGCCAGACAGGGGAACCGCUCGAACUGAAACAUCUAAGUAGAGCGAGGAGAAGAGAAGAUUCUGCGAGUAGUGGCGAGCGAAAGCGGAGAAGCCCAAACCAUAGAUUACGGUUUAUGGGGUUGCAGGACUCAUGUUAGGUAUGGAAGCCGAAGUUGAAUGAACUGGGAAGUUCAGCCGUAGAGGGUGAGAGUCCCGUAGGCGCAGGCGGAAGUAUUGAUGAGAAUCCUGAGUAGCACGAUACACGCUAACAUUGUGCGAAACAGGGGGGUCCACCCUCCAAGGCUAAAUACGCGAGAUGACCGAUAGCGCAGCAGUACCGUGAGGGAAAGGUGAAAAGAACCCCGGCGAGGGGAGUGAAAGAGAAUCU